GUUAGCUGGACGGUGGGUCGAGGAAGCAUUCUCUGAGACACACAACACGCAGGCUGCUCCUCGUUCCGUUAGAGGGAGAUUUUUUGCAAGCCCAGGCCGUGUUGCGUGGAGGUUAAUUAAAGGAGGAAAGUCACUGAGCCUCGCCCUCCACCACCACUACCACCACCACCACCAACUGAUCUAUCCUCCACGAAGGCCGCGGCAGGGCAGGCCACAGGAUGCAGGACGAGGCAGUGCUGCUCUUUGUGAUGACAUGACAGUCUUCUGCUCAAGGCGGUGAAGAAAAUAGCGUGUUGUUACUAUGUAGAUGAGAGAGAUGGAGAGAGGCGGACGAAAGCGAGGAGGAAGAGAGGCAGACAGAUGAACCGCAAGGACUAAGAAUUUGUUGAGGCGCUGCGUCGUCCUGCUGUGCGUGACUCCGAUGCAGUUCCAGCAGACGUGUCCUUCGUCAUCAGCUCCCGAACUUCUCGGAUUUCAACGCAACAGUGUGGCCGUGUGGCUCCAGAUCACUCCCUACGGAUGGCAAGACUGAGUGCGGCUGUGGUGGCUAGCAUCAGACAACCGAGAUUACGAGACCGAUACGAGCGACUGAGAAGACGGACGAACAGCAAGAUCCAGAAGGAGUGCUGAUGAUGGACUGCCUGGAGGACAAGACAAGCAACGCCAGCUUCAUCAACCUGGACACCACUCAGCGGCGGGGCCAUGGACUUCAUGACUGAUGGUUAUACACCGUUAUGAGUUGUCAACAAGGAAGAUGUGGGGUUGGAUAGGGUCUUCUGUGUGCGUGGAACUUGUUGGCCUGAGUGAAGAAAUAAGUGUACCGGCGCAAGGAAGAUACGACCCGCAUGAAACUGUAGAAUAAAUAACCAAGCGAUGAUGCAGGGAGGGAAACAGUUCAUAUAUGACGCCAACAACUGAAGGAGCUGUGUAUAAAUCAAAUAAAACGGUUAAAAAGGAAGGAAGUGUUUGAGAUUAAGGGAAUGAACGGUGAGAGAAGAGAAUAAUGGAAUGGAAGUGAGGAUGAGGAAGAGGAGUGAAGAUAGCUUGACAGUGAGAAUGAAAGGGAAAGAGGCAGUGAGGAAGGAAAAGUAAAGCACAGAAAGGACAUGAGGACACUAUCUCACUGCUGUUAUCUCUUCCUACACUGCAGUGAAAAGUUAGCGAUAUUAAUUUAGUCCCCAAAGAUUCAGUCAGCUAAAGGCACCAGAUUAUGCUAUCGCUAUUUAUUUAUUACUAAACUACGCAUUACUCACAAUACCUGACACACACCACUUAUCAAUAUACUGGCUAGACAACACUGCAAAACCUAUCCAUUUUACUAUCUCUUUUCUUCCAGAUGCUUACAAAAACUGCUUUUACGUUGUAUUUAGAAAUCCCUUGCUCAAUCACCAUGACACUUUUCCAAGGCAACAGAGAAAGAAGACUACCCAGGUUUUCAAGACGGUUUCUCUUUAAAUAACUAGACAUUUUGAAAACACGAGGUCCUUCAACUAUAUACUAGAGCCUUUGAAAAUUUGAUGGUGAGACAGCAUUUCAGAAUACGGGCCUUUGUACUGUGUAUUUUAAAAGGGUUGAGGACUGAAGCAAUGGAAAUACAUACAUACAUACACAUGUACAACCCAUUAACUCAUUCCUCCCUCUGAAUGUCUAUUUUUCCUUUCACAGAUUUCCUAUCUAGCUAAACCCUAUCAUGUCGCUCUUCUCCCGCCCAUACCGACCUCUCCCUUCCUGUCACUUUUUAUUCUCUGCUGCCUCAAUUUUGGUUCUUCCCGCCACUAACCCACCAACCAACCAUUCCCUGUCGUUCUCCUCCCUCCUCCUCCUCCUCCUCCUCCUGCAACGAAAAAAUAGGUCAGGUGUGAGACUUACCUGCCGUGGUUGCGUGCAGGUGCUCAGGUGUUGGUGGUGGCACUUUAGAUGAAAUUGGUGAUGACGGUACACUUAACUAGUAAGGCAGGUACAUUCCUUACACGUACACACGCCUAGUUCAUGUGUUCACGCUGAUACGUUCAAUAGUGGGGAGUGCGAAGGUGUGUGGUGUGUGAAAAUGCGAUAUAUUUUUUAUCAUUUCUGUCUUGGGUAUCUCGUCUCUUGCUGCCUUUCAUGCCGAGUUAGUUGUGUGUGUGGGGGAAAGGGGGCUCCAUGUGUUGAUUACUAAACGCUACAGGUGACUAACUCUACUUACCCUGGUGUUCUACAUGUUUGGUUACUAACUUAGAGUGUGUUGGUGGUGGCAGUGCGGCGCUGGAUAAAGCGUUACCAUGACACCACUGCCACGCCACCAACACCAACGGGCCAAAGGUAAUCGUUAGUGAGUGGAACAAGUACUUGAAACAAAUUUUAUUAGUAGUGACGCUACAUCAAAAAUACUUUUCUGUGACACACACACACACACACACACACACACACUCAUCAUAAUCACGAGCUUCACACAUAUUUACCUAAUUUAUUGUAUAAUAUUCUAAUUACCCAAAGCAAAAGACAUCAUAUCCUAAUAAAAAUACACCAUACAAAAAAAA